GUCUGAUCGACGAGUCCAAGACGGGACGAAACAUGUGUCCUGGAU
rfam:Schistosoma mattheei strain Denwood, Zambia genome assembly, scaffold: SMTD_contig0002970